rnacentral:lncRNA from 1 species
ACUGACUUGUUUUGGCAACUUGAUUGUAGGACGACGGCCCGAGGCCUGGACAGGGUGGCCCGCCCCGUGCCGGCGGCCCUGGUGCCCCUGGUGGUGCGCCUGCUGGCGCCGGUGCCGUUCCUGGUGCCCCUGGUGGUGCGCCUGCUGGCGCCGGUGCCGUUCCUGGUGCCCCUGCUCCCCGUGUCUAGUUUGGGAAUGCUUUGUCCGUGAUAUGCGCCAGCCCUAGUUUUACUCGUAUCUGGAUAUUGGACUAUUCUACCUAGUUUUUGCUGUAAUCGGUUGUACUGAAAGUUGGUUGGUCAAGCACAAUUUGUGAUCAGGUCUUUAAUGUUUUGACAAUUUCGCUGCUAUCUAUAUCGGAGAGAACCUUUUGGUUUGUCUGGGGAUUGCCCCUUGUGGUUUUGUGUUCAUGCAUCAUAUCAUCUUGUAGUUCUUUCAUGAUGAGACUGUAGUCUGCGAUCUAUCUUCUCUUGUUAGUUCACAAUGCUGAGUUAAAAAUCACUCGUGAAUUGGUAUUUGAUAUAGCCUUGUAGAGAUAACAUAUCGCAGAUUCCAACAAAGAGCACAGCCUCUCUUUAUAAGACUGGAUGGCCGGUGCUGUGUCUUUUCCUUAACCAGAGCCACUACCACAUUGUGCUCCGGUUACAGGAGAGGAGCCGGUUGAACAAUGGCUAGGGGAGGAGAGAAAUGUUUGAUGUACGAAUUACUUUGAAUAACAAAGACGAUCAAAUGCUAGAGGCAAAUCCAAGUGUCGCUAACUGUUGGAUCUUCCCAGUACUUCGUUAGAUUCUGCAACGUGCAAUAUCUAGAAGAUUCUAUGGUUGAGCUCAAAUCAUAUGGACAUUUUGCACGACUCCUCCAUGCUAAUACUCUCCUAACUUUUUUUUGACAACUCCUAACUUCUUUUUCUAUCCAAACUAUCAUCCAUUUUUUACUUCGUAUUCAAGGCUAUGGACCUUCAUAAAUCAUAUUUAUCUUCCUUUGUGGAUAGAACAUUAGCUUUGAGAUAGCCAAGAAAGACACCUAACAAAACAGAUCAAUGCAAUUCAUGCAUAUGUCUCACACUCCUAUUUACCUGCUAUAGCCUAUAGUUAAUACAAUACUAUGUCUAUCUUUGACUGUAAUUGACUAUCUGAACUAAUUUAGAGCAUGGUUGAUAAUAGGGCUAACAAUCGGAAAGAGUUGCCAUGUCAUUUACAGCCAACCUAAUAGCUGGCAUGUACAAUAGUACAUUUUAAAUGUGCACUACUCUAUGAAUAGUCUCACAAAUUUUCUUGGGGCUUGUGCUGAAAUUGGCUACUAAAAGAGUCCGUUUCUUUUCUCUCUGCUCCAACUAAGCAAAGAAUAAUAUUUUAGUCCUUACAAUCUCCUUAUGUUCAAAACGUCACUUUGUAGGACGGGUGCUGGAGCCCUAUAUUUUGAAUAGUGGCAAAAUGAUUUUUUAAAGUUUCAAAAAAUUCUGAAAAUAAACUAACAUGCUUAUAUCAAUGUAUAUUAUACACAUGUAAAUUUUGAAGCUGAAAUAAGUAACCAUGUGAGUUGCACAAAAAUGACAAAAUCAUGAUUUUGGAAAGAUGAAUAGUGCAUGCUUAUAUCACCGUUUUGUCAUUUUUGUAUAGCUUACAUGUUACACAUGUGUAAUAUAAAUCGAUAUGAUCAUGUAGAAUUUUUUUUCAGAAUUUUGAAACUUUAAAUGUGAUUUUUAAAUUAUCUAAAAUAAGGUCCUCCAAUACACCCGGGUUCCAAAACUCCACUGUCCCUUAUGUCACCUUAUUGUACUUGCUCUAAUACUAUGUCUGGAACAACAUCAUAUGUACAGCGCGUUGACAUGGAAGUUUGUUACUUCGUCAGAGAGACAGUGCCUCAAUGAUAAAAAUGCACAAUCUGUUCUCUGAGAAGGUGUUAACAUGUAAGAUGUAUCUAGCUUUCAAGGGAAAUUCUGACAUGGCACGUUGUAUUUUCCUGCUUUCCUUUAUGAAGCCCUGGGUUCUGUAACACAUCCAUACUUAAAUUUGUGUACUCAUUGCCCUCAAUCAGCGUAGAAGUUUAUUUAAGACAUGAUUUUUGCUAAUACAGUGCAAAUACACUUAGCAAAAAAAAGAAAACACCACACAGUAUCCUUCUAGUAGCCUCUAAAUGAUAGAAUCUCCUCUCUGACAGGGAAAUGGUUCGGUGAUCCAAAUCUUAGAUACAACAUGGCGUCAUAUCCUACCCUAACAAGGACUUCAAGGCCUAAAAGCCGAACCACUUGGGCAUUUAUCUUCCCCUGAACCACGCACUCCAGGCUAGGUCAUCGCCUUCCUACGGCUUGAUGAAGCGAGCUAGCUUCCCAAGGACGCCUCUCAGGUUGCGUAUGCCGGCCCCCGUCUUGGAGCUCACCAUCAUCUACAAGACAUGUAUCACGGUAUCAGAAUGACAUGGUUCAGGAGUAGGUAUAACAGAUUGGGGAUGAUCAGAUGGUUCAGGAGCUCACCACGGGCUUUACGACUGACUUGUUCUUCUUCAGGCUCUGCAGUUGAGGAAAUGAGCCGUUUCGGUUCAGGUCAGGCAAUGAAACAAAACACGCAUGGGAGGAAGGUGGGGAGGGUGUGUAUAGGGAGGGAGCGAACCUCUUGGAUUUCCAUGGCACGGCGAGCAACGUCUAUAGGGAAAACCAAAUCAGUCUUGGUUAAUACAAUCUGGUAUGGUGUCUUGUAUCUGCCACAGUGUAUAUGGAGAUGUCAUUCACAAAGUCGAACGUAACACCACUAUGUAUAUCACCCCAAACAUAAGCAAAUGCUUUGAUCAAACAAUGUCUUCCAGGAAAAAACUGCAUGACUCUAAUCAAUGAAUUUGAUCGCACUGACAGCACAGUUUUUUUUAACUUUGCACUGACAGUGAUGUACUUCAAUUAAGAUUGUGAAGGUGCAAAACCACUUAACAUUACUACAUUAGAGAAGUAGAUAUGAACACUGCCUCUAAGGAUUUAAGCAAACCUUUCCAUUAGAUCUAUAAGCUCGUAGUCCAAUGGUUUCAUUCCACGUUUAGUGUGCACAAGAAGGCACACUCUAUCCAGACCAACCCUGUUUGAAACAUACUCCUUCACCUACAAAUUUCAGAGUGCUUGUAAGAACCAAGAUCAAUAACCAAUAGGCACGAUCUUUAAAAAAAACAAAAAAACCAAUAGGAACAUCUUGAAGACAAGUGAUUUCUUUGACAGACAGAUCCAAUGGUUCAAAUUAUCAAGAAUACUGCAACGGGACUAGGAGAUAGUUCGUCUAAUUAAGCGAUCAUUAACAUGCAUUGUGAAGCUGCUUGAUUGUUGAUUUGAAAUUGUGCCCAGUUGGACAUCCAGACCAGAUGUUCCUUGUUAUUAAAACAAGUAAUCAGCAGCAGUGCUCAUAAAAGUUAUAGAGCAAGAGCCAAGGAAUUUCAUUACCAAUGUACAGCAGUUAUGUGAUCUACAAGUAUGUACAUUUCAGAGUUAAGAAGAACCAAGAAUAACCAUAACCAAUAGGCACAUGUUAAAGCUUAUGUCUUGAAGAGUUAAAAUAAAACAAGAGAUUUCUUUGAUGAACAGAUCUAAUGGAUGUAUUCAAAUCAACAAGAAUACUGCAUGGGGGGCAGGAGAUAGUUUGUCUAAUUCUGUGAUCAUAAACACGCGUCAUUGAUUUGAAAUUGUGCUCAGUUGGAUAUCCAAACCAGAGGUUCAUUGUUAUUAAAACAAGUAAUCAGCCACAGCGCCCAUACAAGUUGUAGAGCAAGACCUCAAGGAAUUUCAUUACCAAUGUACAAUAGUUUUGUGAUCUACAAGUAUUUACAAUAAAAUUUAGGAUUUUAAUAAAUUAUCAUAGACCAGAGGUCAGAAACCCCAAAUUCAUGCAAGGCGACAUGAUUCAUGAAAAGGCUAUAAUGCAGAUUGGAUACUUACAAGCUCCUGCCAAGACUCUUUAACUUCAUCCUUUGCAUAAGCAAAACCAUAUCCGGGCAAAUCAACAAGGCAUAACUUUGAUGCAAGCUUGAAGAAAUUUAUACUCUGUGAUUCAGAAGUAAUAUGUUAUACAUAUAAACAAAUUAAGUGUUUGAACACUGAUAAAUAAGUAGAUGAAGAUAUGCAAGUGUUAAUUGUUUAUUCAACUUACUUGAGUAAGUCCUGGUUUAUCUGAUGUCCGGACAAUACCCCACUGUCUUGUAAGUGCAUUAAGUAGUGAUGAUUUCCCAACGUUUGAUACCCCUUGAAUUUCAGUAAAGUAAGAGAAGUUGUUAGGGCAGAUUUCAAACCCUUUAAGAAACAGGGAGUGAUAUAGAUAGGUUGAAUACUAUAUUUGAUUCAGUAAAGAUUUUACAGAAUCCAAAGAAAGCAUUGUUUUGACAACAAAACUAGCAUAAAAUAUCUAAAGAAUACAUGCAAAUUGUUAUAUUUCCUAUACAAAGUUUCAAACACAGCCAGAGAAGGAGCAGCACUAAAUGUCAUAUAUGACACAAAAAAUAUCAUGUCUGUUAUCUGUAAAUAUUUACUUAAAAAAAAGGGCAGCCCGGUGCAUGUAGCUCCCGCUUGCGCAGGGUCGGGGAAGGGUCCGACCACUUUGGGUCUAUAGUACGCAGCCUUUCCCUACAUUUCUGUAAGAGGCUGUUUCCAGGACUUGAACCCGUGACCUCAUGGUCACAAGGCAGCAGCUUUACCACUGCGCCAAGGCUCCCCUUCAUCUGUAAAUAUUUACUUAAAGACUUAAAUUAAGCACGAGGUUAUGAUUUGACAUUUGUCCUAGUAAAAAGAGCCUUCUACAAGAUGUGAAGUUUCUCUUUCACCAGUAGUUCAAUUGAUAAUACAUAACCAAACAUUUUAGAAGCUCAGUGAUAUAGAGUUGAGCUGAGCAGAACAUAAGAUGGCUGAAAGUUGAAACAUACAACAAAGUAGAGGCUUGGUUAGUUGACUACAAAAGGUCAAUGUGCAAUUUAUCAUCAAUGUUUCAGUGUGCCACAGAACCAACAAAACAUACAUUUUCAAUGCAAAUAAUUGCUCCACUAUUUGCAAAACAUUGUAGGGGAUAAAUGUAGAAUGAUAUAUGACAUACUGAAUUCAGACACAGCACAUCAAAAUGACAUGAUGGACAACUUUCAAUAUAAAUAAGAAAGGGGAGAUGGAACUGAUAUUGUGCAUUCCUUCCUAGGAUGUUUACCUGCAAAUGCUAUCUCUGGAAUUGUAGGAGGAGGGAAAGAUGAUGGGAUCUUUGCAGCGGCAAAAAAGUCCAACUUAUUUCUGAACACCUGUUGAUAGUUUUUUGUGAGCAACAACAACUAAUAUUGGAUAGAAAAAACAAACAUAAAAUAUACUACCUCCGUUCUAAAUACAAGACGUUUUGGUAGGCUAAAAUGGCCUACCAAAACGUCUUAUAUUUUGAAACAGAGGUAGUAAAACCUAAAAUCAUAUAGCAGCCAAAAAUAAAUGACUAAAACAAGAGAAACAUACAACUUUCUGCACUGAUUAUAUGUUAUCUUUCUUACACUGUCUUCUAUCCGGUCACGCUCAAUUCUGGUUGAGAAGGGGACAUUAUCCAGAGGAGCAGAAAGCUUGGUAUUGUAGCCAGCAUUUUUUAUGUCAAUUAGACGCCUACGACCAAGUAGCUGCGAAGAGCAGUAAAAUUAUGUUACACAUGCAUUCAUAGAGCGUAAGAGUCAAAGAGGUAUGAGGAGGUAAUUGUGUAUACAUUAUCUUCAACAUAUUGAAGGAUUGAAGAACUUGGCUGUAUGUCACGAAAUUUAGCAUUUAUAGACAUUUCAGUCUCUUCAGGUUCAGGUGUGCUCUUUUCUGGAAUCUUCACUGUUAUGCAAACUAGAAAAAAAUGGAGAUAUUAAAGCAUCAGAUUGAUAAUUAGACACUUUCCUCAUAAGACCAAAAGUUUCGAAUAAGUAAAUAAAUUAUAAGGGCGUGAAUGCUCUAAGACGUUCAGGAAAGUUUUCAUAUUACUAAGGAAACAAUUAAAAUAUGUAGCAAUUUCAUGAAGUUAUCAGUUGAAAGAAGAGAUUUGGAUCAACAAUGUUACAUAACAAAGCAUGCAAAUAUAUUUCUAAAAGGAGGGAAUGGCACAGACUGAAUAAAACUAUAACUUGUAAGUGGUUCUAGUGUGUAUGCAUUUUUUUUAUCUUAACAGGAUAUCAUUAAGCAUAUGCAUAUCGAGUAGUAUACAUAAGUUGCACUACAUUUUCUUGACUUCCCGAGCUCUAUACCUGCAUUUAAAUAAUAUGGAAUAUUUCUUCUUUGUUAGCAUGAACUUCAGAUAAGAAAUGCAAUGCUACUUUCAGGGGCAGAGCAAGAAACUAUCCAUGAGAGGGUGCCGUUUCACUAUCACAGGAUUUGAGGGGCCGUUUACAUGAAACAGGAUGUACAUAUGCACAAAUGAAUCCUCUGCGGCACUUUAAAAAUGGUAAGAUAGCAUUCGUACCAUCUUGUUUGGGAGUUGCCUCCUCAAUUCGUUUGUUUGAUGUGUCAUAAGGAUCUAGUUUCAUUCGCUUUCUCUUCUUAGGAGGAGCAAUUUCCUCAGAAUCAGAAACUGAAUCCUUCUUAUAGACCCUGAGUUUCUUCCCAGUCUUGUCCAGCACUCGAGUAGGACGCGCACGGGGCUUCUCUUCAGUAUUUUGGCGUGAAUCAUCAGACUUCCUGCUUCCGGCAUCAUGCUCAUCCAAAUCGGCAUUUGUGGCGCCACCAUUUCGACGAUCGACCCUGAUGUCUUUGUCAAAUUUCUUCCACUUGGAGGCUUGUGAAUUCAUACAGACCAUUGAUCGACCCUUGUCCCCUUUACUUCCACCAGAGGUCUUGCUGCUAUCCCUUCUCAUUGAACGGAAGCCAUCAUCUUCCGAACCUCGAGGCUUGAACCUUUCGCCUUCCCCUCUGCCCAUACCAGAACCUUUGCUGCUAUCCCUUCUCACUGAACGAAAGCCACCAUCUUCCAUACCUCGAGGCUUGAACCUAUCGCCACCCCCUCUGCCCAUACCAGAACCAUUGCUGCUACUCCUUCUCAUCGGCCGAAAUUCACCCUCUUCAGAUCUCCGGGGCUUAAACCCGUCGCCUCCUCGAGAAGAAAACUUGCCACGGGUUCCAUCGGAAGGGUUCUUUCUGUCCAUCCUUGGCUUAGAAAACGACGCGGCGUUGUAAUCGCCGUACCCCGAGUCACGAUCAGCCUUCCUCUUCCUGCUGUCAAACCCAGACGAAGCCCUCCUGGCGUCUCCUUGAGACCCUGCAUCGCUCCGCCACCUCUUCUGCUCCGUACCCCCUCCGCGCCCACGCCCACCGCGCUCUUCUCUCUCCUCCCCAUUGCCCCGGCCACCGAACCUGGCCCCUCCUUUCCCUCUGGCGUCCUCCCUCCUGUUCCCCGUCUUCCCGCCGGCCAUCCCGGUCCCGCCGCCGCUCAUGUCCCUCUUGGCGCUCAGCUGGCUCGCCGUGCUCGUCUGCCGCCACUUCAACCGUACACCGAGCGGCAUUUCUUGGCCCCCCUUUGUCUGAAGAAAACCACCUGCACAAAGACGACGACGGGUUAGACGCUCUCGCCGUUGGUCUGGCAGCAUGCGCGCGCGAGCAGGGAAGGUGUUCGGAGGAAUGCCUAGGCGGAAAAGGGGAGGAUGGAAGAGACAGCUGCUGUGGGCGCGGGCGCGCGGGGGAUGGGACGGCGGUGCGCUCACCUGGAGCGGGGGGCGGCGGCCGCGUUGCUGUCGCGGCGGGCGGCGGGCGGCGGGUAGGCGUUAGUGGGAGUGCCAGAACGAACUGAACGGAGGCGCGCGUGUACUGAGGCUUAAGGUUUUCCUAUGGAGUGUUGGAUACAGAUCCGACGGUAGGAAUGGGGUGCGGCGGCGAGCUUAUGUUUGGGCCGUUGUAGUAGUUCCGAAGCACGUGGGCCUGAAUAAAUGGGCCAGUUUGUUAGUCAUUUACCAUUCGGCCUCGCACAAUCCCAAAAGGGAAAGACGCCUGCUACGAGUAAGUCGGAUGAUCUUAGAAAAGAUCAGCCUGCGCAGCCGGCUGAUUUGGGCGUAGGUGGCCGUUAGAUCGCAGGCUCCCAACAUCGUGUCUUCAUCUUCUUCCUUCGCAUUCUUCUCUCGUAGCGCCCAGUCGUUAAAAGCAGCAGGCCCUCCCCGGCAAACAAUGCAGCGUUGCCGUUCGCCGGAAUCUCAUCUGGUCGCAGCAACCUCGUCAUCGGCCGCAUACAAUGCUCCGACGCAACAUCGACCAGCCCGGCGAUGCUCCAAUGCAGCCCCGGAGCCCCGGCAAUGCUUCAUCGCAGCACCGGAGAACCCGACGAUGCCUCGACGCAACUCCGGCGCCUCGGCAAUGCUUCAUCGAAACAACGAUGGAUUUGUGAAUUUUGUUUGCAUCAUUUUUUUGAUUGCUUUUUGUUUUGAACAUUUUGAAGAAUAUACAUUGAACAUUUUGUAACAUACGUUGAACUUUUUUCAUAUACUAUGAAACAUACAAUUGAACAUUUUCUUAAUAUACUAUGAACAUUUUAAUAUACACGAUGAACUUUUUUUAAUAUAUGGUGAAAUUUUUCGAAAACAAAUAUGAAUGCAUACAUUGAACAAUUUUCACAUACACAUUGAGCAUUUUCUAAUAUAUGUUCAACAAUUUUUUUUAAUACUAAUUGAAUGAUUGGGUAACAUAUGCAGAACAAAUUUGAAAAAUACAGCGAACAUUUGUAUAUUCGUUGAACAAUUUCAAUAAACGAUGAACAUUUUUAUAAUGCACGAUGUACUUUUUGUAGUGGAGAAUGAACAUUGUUUUAAUAUACGAUGAACCGUUUUGUAAGACGCGGUGAACUUUGUAUAAUACACGAAAAAAAAGAAAAGAUUAAAAGGAAAAGAAAAGAAACGUAAUAGAAAAAAAACUAGAAAAAAAGGGAAAGAAAAAGGGAAAAGAAAAAAGGAAAGGAAAAAGAAGCAGAAAAAAGAAGAAACAACAGGCGACUGUGGGCCUGCCCAAACUUGGGCGUCGGGAGGCCGUGCUUCAAGAAGCCACGCCCUUUUGAUGCUUACGAGUGAGUGUCAAAUAGGAAUCACCUUGUUCUCUCGUCGAUGGGAUAUGACGCGUUCUGUGCAAAGACACGGGCAAUUUCUUUUUAUUUGGCUCAGAGGAGGGCAAUUUCAAACCCUAAAAUUUAUCUGCCCAAGUUUGCUACUGCGAGUUGUCAUCAAUGUUGAAGUACGAUUAAAGCCAUGAUUGCACUUUUAGUAUCCAAGAGAUACACUUUGAACUUACCUAAUCAUAUUCUACAAAACAUCAUUGAGAUAUUUAUUACACGAGAAAAUUUUGUUUUUGCCACUUUAGAUUUUGCCAAUUUUCCUUAUGCCACUCUAGAUUUUGACAUUUCACUUUUGCCACUCUUAGUUUUUGACAAUUAUCACAAUUGCCAUUCUCGUGGCAAAAGCAAAAUUUUCAGAGUGGCAAUUGUGAUAAUUAUCAAAAUCUAAGAGUGACAAAUAUAAAAUAAAAUUAUUUUAUUUUUGCCACAAAAUGGCAAUUGUGAUAAUUGUCAAAAAUUAAGAGCGGCAAAAGUGAAGUGUCAAAAUCUAGAGUGGCAUAAGGAAAAUUGGCAAAAUCUAAAGUGGCAAAAACAAAAUUUAAAGUGGCAAAACAUGCACAGUGUGUAUUAAAUAUCUCUACCAUGAUAUACCACACAGAUAUAUCUAUACAAUACAUAGUCUGUGCAAUGUCAAAGCAUAAUUCACAGUAAACUUUUGUUACACAUUACAAUUUAAAUUUAACACAACUCAAAGUUUAAAUGAUAAUGAUAUAUGUAUAUACAUAUACUACAACUACAUAACAAAUAAACAUAAUAAUUAAUAUUUAGCAACAUCAUUAUGUGAUUGACUAUGUCAACUCAGUAAUAGACAAAUUAUAGUAACUAAAAAUUUAUCACAAUAAGAAUAAGUUACAAAUAAGUAGAAAAGUUAAAUAUAAAUCAUGUUUGGUUUAAUUUUCAUAAAAAAAAUAAAAAAAUUGCACCAUGAUGAGCAAAAGCUAUACCAAGAACCUUGUUUACUAAGAAGACACGGACAAUAUACACCUACACGGUGAGAUACCACCGAAUGAAGAUAUGACUGGGGCAUAGAAAGUAAAAGGGAUCCCAGACGUUGAUGAUGUGAGUACCAACACUAGACAAUGCAAUGCCCUUGACUGAGGGACCACCAAAGUGACGGUGCAGAAAAUGAGGCAAACUGCAGCUCGACUACCUUCUUCUCUUGUGUCUCUGCCACCAAUGGUCAUGUUUCGUCAAACUUUCAUCACAAACAAUAAAUCGUUGGGCACAUAUCUAACAACAUAAUGCAUUAUUUCAUGUACGGCGAUGUGAUGUGCACAAAAGAAGACAACGCUCCACUGUUAACUUUUUUGGUGGCUCCGCCUGUUAAUGACUUAACAAAAAAAUGAAACGAAAAUAGAACCGAAGGACCUAACUAGCAACAAGUAAGAAAGAUGACACCCCGCCACGGGUCUACCCCCUGGUCAUGCCAGACAUAGCCGCCAUGUCGCCGCCUCCACGGGACCUCCCUGUCCCAAGCUCGCUCCCAUGUCGUACCUCGCCACAAGCUCACGGUCAUGCCGGUCCAUGGCUAGGGGGAGAAAAAAAUGAAAAAAAAUCACUCAGAUAAAUGGACCCUGCAUGUAUUGGAGAUCUUCUUCUAGGAAUGUCCGGAAAGGAAUGGCAGCUCCCCCACAUGAGUAUAUCACACAAGUUGUAAUUAGUAUAAGACCGAUUCGAAAAGCAGUCGAGAUUCACUGACUUAGGGUCAAUCAUGUGCAUCUCUGCCUGGAGAAUGUUCCACUCAACGCGUGGAACGAGGAGGUCGUGGGCAAGCUCAUCGGCGGCGUGGCCGUCACGCACUACUUUGAUGCGGCCACGACCCAGAAAGAAGACGCGUCGUCGCUCAACCUCUGGGCUUGGACGGCCAAUCCAUCAGCGAUUCCCAAGGUCAUGUGGCUGACACUCAUCGGCGGCAACGCGACCGGCAGCAACAUCAUCGUCUCCAGCUCUGAGCCGCUCCCUGGCUUCAACUCUGCUGCAGCCAGCUCUUCCUCAACACAACAGCAGGGGAGGCUUGGGCUCACGUACCGGGUGAUCGUGCAUCUCGACCUGCAUGAAGACUUUGGCCAGGAUGCUUCAACACCGUGCUACCAGCACCAGUUCGACUGGCAAUAUGGGAUCAUUGAUGGAGAGGUUGCCAUCAGGGAGAGCAACCAAGGUGGACGGCGCAACAACGACAACGACCGCCGUCGCCGCGACGAUGACGACAAAAGACGCCGCCGAGACAGAGACGACGCAGAUUGGCGUGGGCGCCCAGGCGAGCGCCAAGGGUCAUGGUCCGACCGCUUCUUUCGUAGUCGCUCGCGCGCUGCGGAGGGGAGGCGCGACAGGGAGGGGCGACGGGAUGAAGGAAGGCAUGCUGAGGACCGUCGUGAUCGUCACCGGGGUGCCGCACCUACGCCGGUGACAGUUGUUCAAGGGGAGAGCACGCCGUUGGCCAGGCUACAUCGUGAUGCUGCUGGUGCCCUGGUGUGGCGUCGCAUUCAGCAGCCUGGGGCUGUAGAAGCUGGCCUGGUCACGCUGCCUACUACCCCAAUGCAGGAGCGGGGACGCAGCCCCCAUCGUCAGGUCUCACCACACGCGGCCAGGCAACGGUCUCGCAGCAACCUCACGCCACCGGAAUCUCCCUCUUCGGUGCUUCCGGCGAUGCCAAGCUCAAAGGGCGGCCAUGUCCCGCCAAUGGACGUGCUCUUCGCCGGCGUUCAGGCGGCCCUACAACUAUGUUCACCGUGCCGUCUCGUCCAACCUCUGUCUGUAGUUACGCCGCCUUGUCCACCUGGUUUCGAGGCUCCCGUGGAGAGUGCGGUUGUGUCCGUCCCGACUGCCACUGAAGAAGAUAGCUCGGACAUCUUGGAUCCACUCUUUGUGCAGGCCUCAGCGCCGCUGCUGCUUUCGCCUCCUGUCCAGCAGUCAAGGGCACUCACCAACAGGCGCAAGACUCUGGCCGGGAUGGACAUCGACCGCAACGGUGGGUUCUCUCUUCGGCGGUCUAGUGCAAGAAUCAAAGCGCACCGCCGGGCCGCCCCUGCUGCUAAGGAGGCCCAGGCUUUUGUGUGCCGUGGUCUGGGAAUCGUCAAAGAUGGAGAGGAUGUUACUGAGCGCGCGAUGAAAGAGCUCGCCGACCAGUUCAAGGAUCAAGUCCCAGGAACGGUGAUCUCUGCACUUAGGGCACUAUUCCAACUUGACUAAGAGCAUCUCCAACAGCCGCGCUAUGCCCCGUGCGCAAAAAUCCUGUUUGCCGUGCGCGCUUCGGCUGGUUUAGCGCGACCACCAGCGCUGGCUUCAGCAGCCGCGCUAUAAUGCAGCGCGCGCGCCGCUCCAGCCGAGCGCAAAAAUACAGCGCGCGCGCCGCACAAACCACAUAUACAUUUCAAAGAAGAAGAGCAAAAAUGAUCAAACAAACAAAAUAAAUCAACAAUAAAUAGUUCAAUUUCGUUAUCAUUACAACUCAAACAAAUAGUUUAUUGUUCAGUACAACAAAUAAUGCAAUAAACACAACAAAUAGUUCGUAAACAAUACAAUGUCGAAUGCAGAAAUCAUGAUGCUCUUUGUCGUCCAUAUCAUGCCCACCACUCUUCAAUCAGAUCAUUCUGAAGUUCAUUGUGCGUUGCAGGACACCAAAUGGCAUGAUAGGAGGCAAUAAAACGGGCUACCCUUUCAGCCCUCCGUCGCACUCGUACGGGAUGUCCCAGGAGUUCAUACUGUGAGUAGUCUAAAUCUUGGCCACGCUCAUUCUCGAUGAUCAUGUUGUGCAUGUUCACACAAGCGUGCAUGAUGUACCAAAGCAUUUUUUGAUCCCAAAAUCUAGCCGGUCCUCUCACAAUAGCAAAUUGGGCUUGCAAAAUCCCAAAUGCUCUCUCCACAUCUUUUCUAGCCGCCGCCUGAGCAUUGUGGAAAUCAAGAUUUUUCUUACCUUCCGGCUUUUUCAACAGCUUCACGAAGGUUUGCCACUUUGGAUAGAUGCCAUCCGCUAGAUAAUAGUCAUAGUUGUACGUACGACCAUUUGCUACAAAAUGCACAGGUGGCAACUCACCGUUUGCAAUCUUAUUCAUCAGUGGUGACCGGUUGACCACAUUGAUGUCAUUCAAAGAUCCAGGCAUUCCAAAGAAUGCAUGCCAAAUCCAAGUCUCCUGAUCGGCCACCGCUUCAAGGAUUAUAUUGGAACCCUUUUUUUGGCCAUGGAAUUGCCCAUGCCAUGCCUUUGGACAAUUCUUCCAACUCCAAUGCAUGCAAUCUAUUGAGCCAAGCAUGCCAGGAAAGCCGCGCGCUUUGUUCAUCGCCAAUAGCCUUGCGGCGUCUUCAGCAGUGGGAGAUCUCAAAUACUCCUCGCCAAACACUUGCACAAUUCCCAUUGCAAAGCGCUUGACACACAUGAUGGCUUGGCUCUCACCCAUAGCCAAGUGAUCAUCAACUAGAUCAGCCGGGAUACCGUAUGCCAACAUACGCAAAGCGGCUGUCACCUUCGGAAAGGUGAUAUGCCCGAGCUCUCCGGCGGCAUUCCUCCUUUGCUGGAAAAACCGGUCAUGGCUCGCUAGUUUCUCUGCAAUGCGCCUGAACAAGUCGGUGCUCAUCCUAAACCGGCGACGAAAAUACGACUCCUGGUAUGUGGGAUUCUCCACGAAAUAGUUCUUCAUCAAUCUGUUAUGGGCAUCAAUCCUAUCUCUCCAAAUUUUCUCUCGACCCAUAACUGAACCACCGUGCUUCGGUUUUUUAUUGAUAUGCAUAGCUAGGAUCAUUGCAAGAUCCUCCUCCUCUUCCAUAUCAAAUUCUUCUUUGGAAGAAUCAAACGACGAACUCAUCUACAAUGUUCAAUACUAUACUAUUAAAACUACAAUUCAAAACAUGCACCAAAUUCAUGAAGUUUGAGCAAUACAUACCUUGUAGGCGUUUUGUCGAACACCUUGCGGGCGCGGUGCGGAAGCGAGCGCUCGGGCGCUGUUCCUCGGACGACGGAGGCGCGCGAGCGUCGGCGGGACUAGGAGGGAUGGGGCGGAAGCGCGGCGGCGCGGGGAUAGGCCGGGGAAGCGCCUGAAUGGUCGCCGGGGGGCACGGGCGGCGGCGGCGGUGCGGCCGGAUGGGGUGGAAGUGGGAGAGGAAGUGCGAGAGCGAGUGCCCGAGUGUGCCGCGCGCUGCAGCGGGCGCCCGAAAUACACCGCGCGGGGCAGUGUUUCCGACAGCGCGCCCAACUCGUUAUAGCACGCGCGCCGUUUUUGCGCGCCCGCUGGAGCGACCCGCCGUGUUGCACGCGCGCUAAAACCGACUAAUUUGCGGCGCGGCGCUAGUAUAGCGCGGCUGUUGGAGAUGCUCUCAGGCCGGGCUGCUGAAGUGGAGGACACACUGCUGGAGCAUGGCGGAGCUGUUGCACUGGACCAUGACAGCGUCGUCGGCUCAGAGGUCGGCACUGGAGCCUGAAGCAUUUCAAAGGCUCACCCGUUGUAGCUUUUUAGUUCAUCAUGUUAGCAAAACUAUAUGUAUCUCUGUUAUGUUGUGGGGCUCAUGUUUGUGUUAUGAAUCUACCCUGUUGGCAUCAGCUGCUGUCCAGCAUGCUGGUUCUGUUGUGCCCUUUGUGGCUGCUAUGUGAACUUGGCCUGGGAGGCUACUUUAUGAAGACUGCUCUGUUUCCCAAUGGUAGAACACAAGAUUAACAUCAUGAGUUGGAAUGUCAGGGGGUUAAACUGCCCUGACAGACGUGCGACGGUCCAUGAAACAAUUUCCGCUUCUUCUUGCCACAUUGUUUGUCUUCAGGAAAUGAAAAUGGCAUGUAUUGAUCAAUUCCUUGCUUGCUAUCUUGGCGGCAACCGGCUCCGUAGAUUUGCUCAAAGGCUCGCCAAUGGCACUCGCGGUGGCUUAGUCAUGCUCUGGGAUGACUCUGUUGUUGAGGUUUCAAAUGUGAGGACCUCCGAAUUUUGUCUCUCCGCCAACGUAAACAUCCGCAACUCUGAUUCACAGUUUUUGAUCACAUCCGUCUAUGGCCCAACGGAUUCCGGCCGGAAGAAUGAUUUUUUCGCAAAGCUGGUGGCCCUGAAGCCAAAUGCCGGAGUCAAAUGGCUUGCUCUCGGUGACUUUAACCAAAUUUACCGGGCGCGAGACAAAAAUAAGAGAAACAUCAACAUUAGCCGGAUAAACCAAUUUAGAGCAGCAUUGAAUCUUUGUGAGCUCAAGGAAAUCCACUUACAGAAUCGUCGGUUCACUUGGAGCAAUGAAAGGGAGAACCCCACCUUGUGCAAACUCGACUCCUUCUUUUGCAAUUCUGAAUGGGACAUACAUUUUGACUCACACAUCUUGCAUGCCCUGUCAAGCUCCCUGUCCAAUCACUGCCCCCUUCUUCUUGCCGAUGACAGUGGCCCUCGGCGACCUCGCACGUUCAAGUUUGAGAAUUUCUGGACAAAGAUCCCAGGUUUUAUGGGUGUUGUGCAGCAGGCUUGGCAAGAACCAAUCUCUCACUCGGAGCCCUAUCAUGUUUUAUUCCAUAAGCUAAAGAAUACGAGCUUGCAUCUGUCUAGAUGGAGUAAGGGACUCUUCUCCAAGGCCAAGCUUCAUCUUCAUGCGGCCUUGCUGAUCAUCCUUCAACUUGACAUUGCUCAAGAAUCUCGCCCUCUCUCUCAUGAUGAGCAGGACCUCCGGAUUAGGCUGAAGAGGCGGGUCAUGAGCCUGGCUGUGUUAGAGAGGGCGCGUAAGAAGCAGUGUGCUCGCAUUUCCAACAUCAGAGAGGGAGAUGCUAACACCAAGUUUUUCCAUCUCAGGGUCAACGGUAGACGGCGCAAGAACUACAUACACCGGUUAAAGCAUAACAAUGGGUGGGUCACCGACCACUUGGAGAAGGAAACUAUUGUGCAUAAUCAUUUCUCCAGCGCCAUUGGAAGAGGCAUGCCAAGGAGUCGGGAUUUUAAUUGGGCACAUAUUGAAAUGGGCCAGGUUGAUUUGGAAGGUCUUGAUUCACCUUUCACUGAGGAGGAGGUCAAGUGCACCAUUGAUCAUAUGCCGUGCGACAAGGCACCCGGCCCAGAUGACUUUACCGGGGCUUUCUUUAAGUCUUGUUGGGAUAUCAUUAAGGUGGAGGUCAUGGUUGUGAUUCAUAACUUUGGCAACCUACAUGUAGACAACUUCCAGUGGCUCAACUCCGCUAAUAUUAUGCUUCUGCCCAAGAAGGAUGGGGCAGAAGACAUCACCGAAUUCCGGCCCAUUAGCCUCAUCCAUGCCAUUUCCAAGAUUGUCUCCAAGAUGCUUGCAGUGAGGCUUAGCCCACACAUGAACAACCUCAUAUCCAACGCCCAAAGUGCUUUCAUAAAGAAGAGAAGCAUUCAUGACAACUUCAUGUACGUUAGAAACCUUGCACGCCGCCUCCACAAGAAUAAGACUCCUUCACUCCUUUUCAAACUGGACAUCCGAAAAGCUUUUGACUCGGUCCGGUGGGAAUAUGUCCUUGAUAUUCUUCAGCGGUGCGGCUUCCCUAGCAGAUUUCGUGACUGGAUUGCUGCCCUUCUUAGCACCUCAUCAUCACGGGUGCUCCUCAAUGGGGUUCCCGGUUCUCCGAUUAGCCACGGGAAGGGCCUUCGGCAAGGAGACUCGAUGUCACCGCUUCUUUUUGUUAUUGUGAUUGACCCGCUACAACAACUGCUCAACUCAGUCACGCGGAUUGGACUUCUGCACAAGAUUAGAGGGCGUGGCACCAUUAUUCGGACAUCACUCUAUGCUGACGACGCGGCUGUCUUUGUGGCGCCAAUUCGGGAGGAUAUUAGAAACCUGACCGACAUCCUAGAGGGGUUUGGUGAGGUCACAGGGAUGCACACAAACUUUCACAAGAGCUCUGUGGUGCCUAUUCGGUGUUGGCACUUGGAUUUGGACGCCAUACUUGAGGACAUGCCAGCCACUCGAGCUUCUUUCCCCAUUAGAUAUCUCAGAUUGCCGCUUUCUGUUUGGCAACUUAAGUGAGUGGACUAUCAACACCUGGAGGACAAAAUUGCGAACAAGCUUGUGCCUUGGGAGGGCAUGCAUAUCACCCCCAUUGGACGUGGGGCUCUUGUGAAGUCGGUCCUCACCUCCCAGGCCAUCCACCACCUCACCCCAAUCAUUGUGCCACCAUCCGUUUUCCAGAGCAUCAAUAAGAUUGAGCGUGCUUACCUUUGGGCAGGCACGAAAAAGGUCUCCGGAGGGAAGUGCAAGGUUAAUUGGGAAACGGUCUGUAGGCCUACUCACCUAGGAGGAUUAGGUGUACUACAUCUUGACAAAUUUGACAGAGCUCUCUGGUUGCGUUGGCCAUGGUAUGAGUGGCAUGACCCAACGAAGAUUUGGGUUGGUUCGGGAAACCCAUGCGACAUAGAGGACAUGGAUCUUUUUUAUGCUCUCACUACCAUCACAGUUGGCAAUGGGGAAAGGAUGCCAUUUUGGGACGCGCCGUGGCUUAGCGGCAAGAAGCCAAUUGAUGUUGCACCCCUCAUAUACAAGAUCUCGAAGCGCAAAAGUUGGAAGGUUAGUAGGGCCUUGCACGAUGAUGCGUGGAUCAAGGCCAUCAACAUGCAUUGUGAGCUGACUUGGAAUCAUGUGACCCAAUUCGUCGAACUGUGGUCUCUGCUCUCUCAUAUAAACAUCUCCCAAGAUGUCCAUGACACCAUCAUUUGGAAGCUCUCCCCUAAUGGGGAAUACUCGGCCAAAUCAGCAUAUAAGGCGCAAUUCAUGGGAGCUAUCCUCACACCCAUGAACAAGGUCAUUUGGAAAGUCUGGGCACCCCAAGGUCAAAUUCUUCGCAUGGCUAGCCAUCCAAAAUAGGGCAUGGACGGCUGACCGCCUAGAGCGGCGCGGGUUGCAAAAUUGUGGUCUCUGCCCAUUAUGCAAGAGGGAGUUCGAGUCCGCCGCUCACCUUUUCUACAGAUGUCGGUACACUAGGCGGUUGUGGAGGCUGAUUAGAGAUUGGUUGCAAAUUGGCGAUAUCAACACCAACCAGUGGGCGGCUCAUCACUCUCUCAGUAGUUGGUGGACUCAUAUGGCCAGGCGCAGCAAGGCGAUGGCGACCCCCACCUUGCUCACCACCUGGACCAUUUGGAAUGAGAGAAAUGCAAGGGUCUUCCAGAAGAAAUAGACGCCCCCCCAAAUCAUCUUGCGAAACUUGAAGGAGGAAGCUAGGCUCUGGGUGCUAGCGGGGGCAAAAUGCCUGAGUAAUUUGAUGCCGCGAGAGUAAUGACUUUGUAUUCAGUGGGCCUCAUGUGGCUCCGACUUAAACCUUGUCUCCUCCCUUAAUUAAUGAAUGAGGCAAAUCUUUUGCCUUUGUGUUCAAAAAUAAUAAUAUGUGGACCAUUUGGUUUGUGGCCCCAUAUGUCGUGACCCUAAGUCACCUGACGUUACAGCCAAUUUGAGCCCUAAAGAAAGUGUCAGGAAUUACAUGGACACACAUAUGUGCAAGGAGAGGAAUGUCCUCCGCGAGAAGGCGAACUCCUUGUAUCAAUGCUUAGUAAGUCUAUGAGACCAAAGUGUAUUGGAGAUCUGUUGUGCAACUUCGCGUGCGGGUAGUUUUGUCAUGCAGUGUUGCGGCUCGAGUGCGAGCGAUGGUAUGUCGGGGCGGCAACCCCAUAAGGUUGUGCUCGUGGACCACAUAGGACACGCAGGAGUGGAUGGAAGUCAGGGCGGUCGUCCAAACAUUUCGACAACUUUGAAUGCGCUGACCUCAUGUCGCGUGGGCGGCGAGGUUGCUCUUGAGGUUGGUCAUUGGUGUACCGUGAGUCGCAUUGAGCACGAGUCCAGUGGAGUGCAGGCAUCUUCACCGUUGAGGGAGGGUCCUGGGUUUGCUCCUCUAUAUCAAUCGCAACUUCUUCUCCUCGGCGAUGUGGUUGGAUGCUGGCUAGUUCGGCGGAGCAGGUUACCGUUGACUUGUGUGAGUUUAGUUGGUGUGUUGAUGUGAUGUUUGUCUAGCAGUUGGCGAGAGUGGUCGUGGGCUUGUAAUGUCGUUGUUUGAGUGGACAUGGCUCUGUUUGUAUCAGUUUUUGCCCAGUUUCUGUGAUUAACUAGGCAACAACCAUCUUCUAAUGAAAGGGGCAAAGCUUUUGCCUUGUGUUUCAAAAACACCUCUCCACUAAUAAAAAAUUAUAUUGGAGAAGUCCAAUAGUACCCUAUUGGAGAUGGAACCGGGUGCUGUAAAAUAAAAAAAUGAAAGCAAAAUUUAAAAAAUCUCAAUUUUUUAGGAAACAUUGACAAAUGCUUUGAUAGCUUGCAAAGUUUGAACAUCGCAUGACAUUAAUGAAAAACGUGGCAAAAAAACGAUGCUCCAAAAGUUUUAUUUUCAAAAGCAUUUUGGAGCAUUGUUUUUUUUGCCAUUUCGUGAUGAAACUUUGCAAUCAAUGAAAACAUUUGUCAAUGUUUGCUAGUACCAAAUAAAUUUAGAUUUUUAGAUUUUUAUAAUUUUACUGCUACUUGAGCUCAUGUGAGCUCAAGCCGAGAAAAACACUUUCGAAGUAUUGAGAUACAGCUACAGACGACACAGACAACUUACACAAGGAUCAAAUAUAAAGCAAAAGUUUUUUUUAGAAAAGGAGGAUGACCCCCGGCCUUUGCAUCUGGGAGAUGCAUGCGGCCACUUUAUUGAUUAUUCUUGAGGACCAAAUUAAUAAAAACUUAACCUUUUCCCAAUUUUAAUUCUUGGCAGAUUUUAGCAACUUAGCACUAGUCAAGCAAUCUCAACACAAUUCAAGCAAGCAUGCAAAGAGUAUAUGAGCAGCGGAAAGUAAAGCAUGCAACUUGCAAGAAGAUAAAUGGGAGGAGUUGGAAAGGAGCAAACGCAAUGUUGACACGGAGAUUUUUGGCGUGGUUCCGAUAGGUGAUGCUAUCGUACAUCCACAUUGAUGAAGACUUCAACCAUGAAGGGUAACGGUUGUGCGAGUCCACGGAGGGCUCCUCCCAUGAAGGGUCCACGAAAAAGCAACCUUGUCUAUCCCACCAUGGCCAUCGCCCACGAAGGACUUGCCUCACUUGGAUAGAUCUUCACGAAGUAGGCGAUCUCCUUGCCCUUACAAACUUCUUGGUUCAACUCCACAAUCUUGACGGAGGCUCCCAAGCGACACCUAACCAAUCUAGGAGACACCACUCUCCAAAAGGUAAUAGAUGGUAUAUUGAUGAUUAACUCCUUGCUCUUGUGCUUCAAAUGAUAGUCUCCCCAACACUCAACUCUCUCUCACAUAUUUGGCUAUGGUGGAAAGAUGAUCUGAGUGGAAAUCAACUUGGGAAAGGCUAGAGAUCAAGAUUCAUAUGGUUGGAUUGGAAUAUCUUGGUCUCAACACAUGAGUAGGUGGUUCUCUCUCAGAAAAUGAGUAGUGGAAGUGUAGGCACGUUCUGAUGGCUCUCCUCAUGAAUGAAGAGUGGAUGGAGGGGUAUAUAUAGCCUCCACAUAAAAUCUAACUGUUACACACAAAUUCCCAAACUCGGUGGGACCGAAUCACGAAACUCGGUCAGACCGAUUCAGGUCAAAAUAUGAACGUUAGGAUUUUCGAUGGGACCGAUACAGUCAAUUCGUUGGAAACGAUUUGCUAGGGUUAGGACAUGACGUAAUCUCCGUGUGACCGAUCACAUCAACUCGGUGGGACCAAUUUCAGUAAUAGGCACAUUGAGAGUUGGUCAUGCAAACUCGGUGGGACCGAUUCGCUCACUUCAGUGAGACCGAAGUGUUAUGAAAAGGAUCAGGGAGUUUGCAUUGCAGACCCGGUGGGACCGAUUCACUCAUUUUGGUGGGCCUGAUUGUUACAAAAAAGAAACGGUGAGUUUGCUAUCCCAUCUGGGUGAGACCGAGAUCCCUAAGUGACUAGGGUUUGUGGCAGUGGCUAUGUCAAAUGAAACUCGGUGGCACCGGGUAGAUCAAAUCGGUGGGGCCGAAUUUGACUUUUAGGUUUGGGACAUAUGUGGAAAUGAGAAAGUGGUUGAGGGUUUUGGAGCAUGUCACUAAGAAAUGUGAGCAAGAAAUCCAUUAAGCAACACCUCAUCCCCUUUUAAUAGUAUUGGCUUUCCUAUGGACUCAAUGUGAUCUUGGAUCACUUAAAUAAAAAAGUAGAGUCUUGAGCUUGUUGCCAAUAUGUAUCCUUUGCAUUUUGAGGGGUCGACAUCUCUAGUCCAUGCCAUGCUAACUAUUGAAGUGUCUGAAAUGAUCAUCUUGAAAGAGCAUUAGUUCAAUGAGCUAUAUGUUGUUAAGAAUUACCAAAACCACCCAGGGAUUAGUUGCACGAUUCGGUCCCACCGAGUUUGGUAAGUUGUGUGUAACAGUUAGAUUUUGUGUGGAGGCUAUAUAUACCCCUCCACCCACUCUUCAUUCAUGGAGAGAGCCAUCAGAACAUGCCUACACUUCCAACAUACAUUUUCUGAGAGAGAACCACCUACACUUGUGUUGAGGUCAAGAUAUUCCAUUCCUACCACAUAAAUCUUGAUCUCUAGCCUUCCCCAAGUUGCUUUCCACUCAAAUCUUCUUUCCACCAAAUCCAAAUCCUGUGAGAGAGAGUUGAGUGUUGGGGAGACUAUCAUUUGAAGUACAAGAGCAAGGAAUUCAUCAUCAACACCCCAUCUAUUACCUUUUGGAGAGUGGUGUCUCCUAGAUUUGUUAGGUGUCACUUGGGAGCCUCCAUCAAGAUUGUGGAGUUGAACCAAGGAGUUUGUAAGGGCAAGGAGAUCGCCUACUUCGUGAAGAUCUACCCGAGUAAGGCAAGUCCUUCGUGGGCGACGACCAUGGUGGGAUAGACAAGGUUGCUUCUUCGUGGACCCUUCAUGGGUGGAGCCCUCCGUGGACUCGUGCAACCGUUACCCUUCAUGGAUUGAAGUCUCCAUCAACGUGGAUGUCUAAUAGCACCACCUAUCGAAACCACGGAUAAAAACUCUCCGUGUCUCCAAAUUGCGUUUGCACACUCCAAUCCCAUCUCUUUACAUUCUUGCAAUUUGCAUGCUUUACUAUCCGCUGCUCAUAUACUCUUGUCAUGCUUGGUUGAUAUGUAUUGUGAAUGUUAAAACUUGUGCCAAAACUCCACUUCAACUUAAAGAGAUUAAAAACUGCAACUUUUCUUACUUAGAGUCUAUUCACCCCCCCUCUAGACACCUCUUCUCGAUCCUUUCAGAGUGAUAUCUUCUCUCGGAGUGGUGGUCGGAGUCGGAACCGGAUACCCGUUCACCAACAUGAGCUUGAUGUCUUCAUUUUGUAUAGCUCCUUGAUGACUUGUCCUUCCUUUCUGAAUCCUUGCUUCUUCGAGAGGUUCUUCAUUCAUAGCGAUCAUCUCUACCCCUUCUCUCUCUUGGAGGUGAUUCUUCCCUUUUUCUUCUCCUUUUAGGUGAGUCUUCUCUUCUUUUGUAGGGAGCCGUACACUCAUUGGAGUAGCAUCCGGGUCUUCCACAAUUGUAGCAAUUUCGCUCACGACUAGAAGAUCUUUUGUCAUUGUAGGACCUUGACUUGGAACUUCUUUCCUUGCUUCUACUCUUGUAGAAUUUGUUGAACUUCUUCACCAUUAGGCUCAAUUCAUCAUUGAAGGCUUGUUUCUCAUUUGAUUAUGUAGGAGCAUCACAUGAGGCUUUAUAAGCACUGCUAGACUUGUUGUGAAGCUCUUCUUUAUCCUUGAGUGACAUCUCAUGAGCAACAAUUCUUCCAAUGACUUCCGUUGGCUUGAGAUCUUUGUAAUUUGGCAUCAUUUGGAUCAAAGUGCACACAGUAUCAUAUUUUCCAUCCAAGGCUCUUAGGAUCUUCUUGAUGAUGAAUUUGUCGGUCAUCUCUUCACUUCCUAAGCCGACAAUCUCAUUUGUGAUGAGAGCAAGCCUAGAGUACAUUUCAGCGACACCUUCACCAUCCUUCAUUUUGAACUUGUCAAGCUGACUUUGAAGCACAUCCAACUUGGAUUCCUUGACGGAGUCGGUACUUUGUGCAUAUCAAUCAAAGUAUCUCAAAUUUCCUUUACAUUCUCAAGACGGCUGAUUUUGUUGGAUUCUUUAGGGCACAAUCCGUUGAAGAGAGUAUCGUAGGCACUACAAAAAAAAAUACAC